rnacentral:rRNA from 1 species
GGGGGAUAUUGCGCAAUGGGGGCAACCCUGACGCAGCAACGCCGCGUGAAGGAUGAAGGUUUUCGGAUUGUAAACUUCUUUUAUUAAGGACGAAAAAUGACGGUACUUAAUGAAUAAGCUCCGGCUAACUACGUGCCAGCAGCCGCGGUAAUACGUAGGGAGCAAGCGUUGUCCGGAUUUACUGGGUGUAAAGGGUGCGUAGGCGGCUUUGCAAGUCAGAUGUGAAAUCUAUGGGCUCAACCCAUAAACUGCAUUUGAAACUGUAGAGCUUGAGUGAAGUAGAGGCAGGCGGAAUUCCCCGUGUAGCGGUGAAAUGCGUAGAGAUGGGGAGGAACACCAGUGGCGAAGGCGGCCUGCUGGGCUUUAACUGACGCUGAGGCACGAAAGCGUGGGUAGCAAACAGGAUUAGAUACCCUGGUAGUCCACGCUGUAAACGAUGAUUACUAGGUGUGGGGGGUCUGACCCCUUCCGUGCCGGAGUUAACACAAUAAGUAAUCCACCUGGGGAGUACGGCCGCAAGGUUGAAACUCAAAGGAAUUGACGGGGGCCCGCACAAGCAGUGGAGUAUGUGGUUUAAUUCGAAGCAACGCGAAGAACCUUACCAGGUCUUGACAUCCAACUAACGAAGUAGAGAUACAUUAGGUGCCCUUCGGGGAAAGUUGAGACAGGUGGUGCAUGGUUGUCGUCAGCUCGUGUCGUGAGAUGUUGGGUUAAGUCCCGCAACGAGCGCAACCCUUGCUAUUAGUUGCUACGCAAGAGCACUCUAAUAGGACUGCCGUUGACAAAACGGAGGAAGGUGGGGACGACGUCAAAUCAUCAUGCCCCUUAUGACCUGGGCUACACACGUACUACAAUGGAUGUUAACAGAGGGAAGCAAGACAGCGAUGUGGAGCAAACCCCUAAAAACAUUCUCAGUUCAGAUUGCAGGCUGCAACCCGCCUGCAUGAAGCUGGAAUCGCUAGUAAUCGCGAAUCAGAAUGUCGCGGUGAAUACGUUCCCG